rnacentral:rRNA from 1 species
UACGAAGGGGGCUAGCGUUGCUCGGAAUCACUGGGCGUAAAGCGCACGUAGGCGGAUUGCUAAGUCAGGGGUGAAAUCCUGGAGCUCAACUCCAGAACUGCCUUUGAUACUGGCGACCUUGAGUCCGGGAGAGGUGAGUGGAACUGCGAGUGUAGAGGUGAAAUUCGUAGAUAUUCGCAAGAACACCAGUGGCGAAGGCGGCUCACUGGCCCGGUACUGACGCUGAGGUGCGAAAACGUGGGGAGCAAACAGG